UACGUAGGGUGCGAGCGUUAAUCGGAAUUACUGGGCGUAAAGCGUGCGCAGGCGGUUUUGUAAGACAGGCGUGAAAUCCCCGGGCUUAACCUGGGAAUGGCGCUUGUGACUGCAAAGCUGGAGUGCGGCAGAGGGGGAUGGAAUUCCGCGUGUAGCAGUGAAAUGCGUAGAUAUGCGGAGGAACACCAAUGGCGAAGGCAAUCCCCUGGGCCUGUACUGACGCUCAUGCACGAAAGCGUGGGGAGCAAACAGG
rnacentral:rRNA from 1 species